GCUCUCGCUAUUAGAUGAGCCUAAGUCGGAUUAGCUGGUUGGUGGGGUAAAGGCCUACCAAGGCGACGAUCUGUAGCUGGUCUGAGAGGAUGAUCAGCCACACUGGGACUGAGACACGGCCCAGACUCCUACGGGAGGCAGCAGUGGGGAAUAUUGGACAAUGGGCGAAAGCCUGAUCCAGCCAUGCCGCGUGUGUGAAGAAGGCCUUUUGGUUGUAAAGCACUUUAAGUGGGGAGGAAAAGCUUAUGGUUAAUACCCAUAAGCCCUGACGUUACCCACAGAAUAAGCACCGGCUAACUCUGUGCCAGCAGCCGCGGUAAUACAGAGGGUGCAAGCGUUAAUCGGAAUUACUGGGCGUAAAGCGCGCGUAGGUGGUUAUUUAAGUCAGAUGUGAAAGCCCCGGGCUUAACCUGGGAACUGCAUCUGAUACUGGAUAACUAGAGUAGGUGAGAGGGGAGUAGAAUUCCAGGUGUAGCGGUGAAAUGCGUAGAGAUCUGGAGGAAUACCGAUGGCGAAGGCAGCUCCCUGGCAUCAUACUGACACUGAGGUGCGAGAGCGUGGGUAGCAAACAGGAUUAGAUACCCUGGUAGUCCACGCCGUAAACGAUGUCUACCAGUCGUUGGGUCUUUUAAAGACUUAGUGACGCAGUUAACGCAAUAA
rnacentral:rRNA from 1 species